CCCUCUUCCCCCAAAUAAUUUAGAUUUCCCUCUCAUUCUCAAUUUUACAAUUCCAUCUCCCGCAUCACCCACCAAAAUCGGUGUUCUCUCCCUCAACCUCAACCUGGAUCGAUCAUCUCAUCCACUUGAUUAUGAUCCCUAUUCCAGACGGUUGUCUCCUCCGAUCGGUUCCCACCACUACACCGCCGAUGAGGCGCGGUUGAGUGACUGAUGAACCGCCACUGCAGCACAAACGACCCACAAGCAACCCGUCAUCACUGCUCGACUCCAUGUUGUUUCAAUCCUCACUACAGCGGAAGUGUACCUCCAGUCCACUGCAACCGUCCACCUCUUUCCUACCUCUGUCCAACUCCAAUCCACCGUAAUUGUCCCACCCUUUUUUAUCGGAGACCCCAAUUGCAACCACCACCACCGUUCACAGUGUUAUGAAUUAUCUAGUUGAAGGCAAUUUGACUGUUGUAUUAGAUUGAUUAAAAGAACUGGAGAUGGGGAAAUAACAGAGGAGAAGGGGAUGGGAAUAAAGAUCAAUGAGAACUAACAUUCAUACCUAUCUCAUGACCAUGACAUAAUUACUUUAAAUAGCCACUACUAACAGAAUUCUGUUACGUCAUAAUGUGAUCUUGGAACUUCUUGGGCUGAGUUUUCACGCUUUCACUCUUUCUUAUUUGGGCUGGAUCCAUACUAGUUGUAUUGUUGCCUGAACUUUGGCCCACUGGAUUCAUGACACGCAGCCACCACGACCGCUUGCAACUACCACGACCGCUCGCAACAACCACCACUGUUUAUCCCAAAAGGUAAUUCCUCCUUUACAAGGUCAAGGAAUGGGGAGAAUGAUUUUUAAAGGAUCAUAAGGUAAUUCUUCAGUGACAUGUCAUCCUCAAGAUUUAGCUAAAGGCGAAUGUAGAAAAGCUAAUGAAGUUGGCUGGUGUUGUUCGAACCGAUGGGAAGAAUGGGUGAAACUAUGUAGCAAAGGAAAGGAAAAUAAUUGAAAUGAAAACAGAGAAACGACAAAGCAUUAUGAGUGGUAGGCUAUGUGCAUUAUUGGGGAUGAUGAGAAAACUACAAGAAAAAAAAUAUGCGAUGAAGAACUCUUAGAUGAGUGGUGAAGACUUGAAGACCAAUGUGUUGGGUACUUAGAGAGAUAUGUUUUCUCUAUUCAUUUUCAUCACCUUCAUAUUAUUAUUUUCCACAAGUUCUAACACUAUAAUUUUAUCCAGUGUAACCUCGGGCGCGUGGCCAUUUCCGGCAAUACAUACUGCUUCGGCUGUUGUACCCUGGGAAACAGACGCGUCAUCUUUAGUAGAGGCGCGAAAUCUGUUUUAAGGGAAGCGUGUUGAACACGUGCCUCAGCCACAACCAUCAACAUCAGUUUGUUCAUUUUUGCAGCCAAGAAGGAUCGCAAAAGGAGACGCGGUUCAAGUUCUCGUAGCAGAAAUUGUACAAGAAGACGCUUCUCAAGCUCUUGUCAAAGACAACGAUUUGAAUCGAUUUAUUUAAAUAUGUUGUAUUUCAUAUUUAAUUUUGUAUGGAUUUGUACUCGGUACGGCUACUACAAUUUCCCAAAAAUUAUGUAAAG